UUUAGUGAAGAAAGUAGAAGUUGUCGCGUGCUCUCCAUUUAUUUGUGAAAUUUACCGAUUAAUAUUGAAUGGAAAAUUAGGCGAAGAAGAAGUAAACGCCCAGAAAAGUUGAUGAAGAGAGACACGGACAAUAGUGAGGGGAAUUAGAAGAUUUAUUGAGAAGAGAAAGGCAGGCAAGCCCAAUUUAGGAGAAAUAUUAUCUCGAGUAAGUGAUUGAAUAGGAGAUUUGAAUUAGUGAGAAUUAAGAUAAUGUUUUGUUUCAGACCAAAAUUAUUUGCUACGGCUUGACUGCCUGGAGUUGCGCAUUACCACCAAAAAUUUAUGAAUAAAAUUCUUGUUCAGAAUUGAACAAGUAUACUUUUUUAAAAAUUCGGGGGAGUGAAAACACGGGAGCCGAAAUUAUUGAAAUUCAUCGCUUUUUUAUUUAUGCAACGUUUCGGAGACUUUCUUCUCCUUUCUCAGGCAUUAAUAAUUUGGGAGUCUUUCGGUUGAUUUCUUGGUCACUCUGCAUCCACUGGACAACACAUACGGUUCUCAUCACCAAGAAAUUCAC